UAUUGUAGUAUAUAUAGGUCUGUGGUUGUAUUUUAUAUAGCCUUCGUAACUUCUUCUAUAGAGAAAUGACUUUUGUAAUUUCUUUUACUGAAAAUUGGGCUAUUCGCGUCUGACACAUAUAUAAUUUUUAUGUUCAGCAACAAACCCUAUUAGACCUAGGAAUAGAGUUGAAUAGACAGAUGUGUAACAUUUCGGUCUUUUCUAAUGAAAGAAUAUUGAGAUUGUUUGGGACAUGGGCACAAUUGAGGCCAUGGCGUGCCCUUAGUCCUUCUACCACCUCUAUUCAACAAGUACAGGAGGAAUGUUAAAAGCUAUACUAUUUACUAAGUCAACAAAUAAACAAAGGGAAAGAUUUGACCUAGACAAGCUCCAGAACACCCAGAUUAAAAAGAAUUCCAACUAUCCCUUCAAAAUAGAUUUGCUGUGCUACAACUAGAUGAGGCAGAACAAAGAGUUGAUAAAUCUUGGCAAAAUUUCAAAGAAAUUAUUACUGAAACAAGCAAUAAAGUACUAAGCUUUAACCCUAAGAAGAAAAAACACUGGAUUAGUGAUGAGACAUGCAAAUUAAUUGAAGAGAGGAAAUGCGCUAAACAGGCAGUUAACCUAGCAAAAACAAGAAACCACAAGCAACAAUCCAAACAAGACUACCAAGCAGUUUCACAAUAAGUCACUAAAAUGCUUAGGCAGGACAAACGAUCAUUAUAACAUAAUCUGGCAGAACAGGCAGAACAAGCAGUAGGUAAAGGUGUUAUAAAACAACUGUACAAAAUCACCAAACUUCUUAGUACCAAAAAGGCAAAUUGCAAUGUCCCAGUCCGAGACAAAUAUGGAAAACUACUUUCUUCAAUAAAUGAACAGCUUGAAAAAUGGAAAAAAUAUUUUCAAGAAGUGCUCAAUUUGACUCAAACCACUAAAUCCACCAAAUCUAAAUGCAGGACCAACACUAGACAUAAACAUGGAAGAAAAAACAAAAGAAGAAAUAUGGAAUGCACUCAAAUAAAUGAAGACGGGUAAAGCAGAUGGUAUUGACAACUUACCAUCCGAAGUCCUAAAAGAAUGAGGAAGUGAGAUAGUUGACCAACUGCACUAACUAUUCAACAAAAUUUGGUUAACAGAAACACCUCCCGGUGAGUGGAAAUCUAUCACAAUGUGAGAAAUGGCGAGGCAUCACUUUGUUGUCAGUACCAAGCAAGAUUUUCAGCAGAAUUUUGCUUAAAAGACCAGAUUCAGAAAAGGGAGAUCUUGUGCUUGUAGAACAAUGUGUCGAAUGGCAAUCUCUUCUUUAAGCAACAUUUGUUGACUUUGGACUUUGAAAAGGCCUUUGAUAGUACGGACAGAUAAUCUAUCUGGACAGUAAUGAGACAUUACGGGAUCCCAAAUAAAAGAAUAACAAUAAUUAAAAACCUUUAUAAUGGUUUCACCUGUCAAGUAGCCCACUGCAGCAAACUGUCAGAUGAAUUUCCAGUCACAACAGGAAUCAAACAGGGAUGUCACCACUCCUGUUCCUUCUAAUAUUGGAUUGGGUCACAAAAGAAGCCUACUCUAAUUUAGGGAAAUGAAUCCAAUGGACUUUCACAUCAACAGAUGUAUGAGAAAUAUCUUAAAAAUACACUGGUAUGACAAAGUAGAAAACACCAAACUGUGGGAGAUAAGUGGACAGAAAAAUAUAGAAGUGCAGAUUUUAGAGAGAAAGUGGAGAUGGAUUAAUCACACACCCUUAGAAAAGAUACCAACAAACAGAGCUAGAAUGGAAACCUCAGAGAACAAGAGUAGAGGAAGACCAAAAACAACAUGGAGACGCAGUAUACUACAUAAAGCAGAGAAGACAGGAAAGAGCUGGGAAGCCAUGAAAAAACUAGCAAGAGACCAUGGAGAGUGGCAUGUUUUUACUGAGGCCCUAUGUUCCACAAGGAACGCAAAGGAAAGAUAAUGAUGUAGUAUUCAGCACUUAUAUAAAUGUCUUUACAGAUUAAUGCUAGUAUAAUAUUAAAUAUAUAUUGGAAAAUUGCAUUGGCUAAGUUAAAU